rnacentral:sRNA from 1 species
ACAAAGGAAGCUGAGCAUCCGUACCAGUCCUUCAAUCAUUCAUUUAUCACGGGUGCCGGAUGUUGCCAGGUAACACCAUCGGUUGGCAAGCGGCCAAAUACCUAAGAUUGCAACAAUAGCUAGUAACAUCACAAUAUCAGAUCCUCAUUAUUAUUGCCCACCGCGGCCUGUAUUCUUCUUCCUCCUUCCUCCCACCUCCGCAAUUUGCGGGAAGGCAACGAAAGACAACGACUCGGAGGACGGAGGAUGAGUAGUAUUACUCAUUGGUCCAAUGCAUUCAUCACCCUUCACUAUUUGGAUAUGUUAUGGACCCACUCAGCUCCGAUUCAGAAAUAUUGGUUAGCUGCGC